GGACAACUGUUUGGCUCAGUGGUACAGCACCUGCUUUGCAUGCAGAAGUUUCAGGACCGAUUCCUGGCAUCUUUA
rnacentral:tRNA from 1 species